AACGAACGCUGGCGGCAGGCCUAACACAUGCAAGUCGAGCGCGCCCUUCGGGGUGAGCGGCGGACGGGUGAGUAACGCGUGGGAACGUGCCCUUCUCUGCGGAAUAGCCUCGGGAAACUGAGAGUAAUACCGCAUACGCCCUUUGGGGGAAAGAUUUAUCGGAGAAGGAUCGGCCCGCGUUGGAUUAGGUAGUUGGUGGGGUAAUGGCCCACCAAGGCGACGAUGCAUAGCUGGUUGGAGAGGAUGAUCAGCCACACUGGGACUGAGACACGGCCCAGACUCCUACGGGAGGCAGCAGUGGGGAAUCUUAGACAAUGGGGGCAACCCUGAUCUAGCCAUGCCGGGUGAGUGAUGAAGGCCUUAGGGUUGUAAAGCUCUUUGAGCUGGGAAGAUAAUGACGGUACCAGCAGAAGAAGCCCCGGCUAACUCCGUG
rnacentral:rRNA from 1 species